rnacentral:tRNA from 1 species
GAAACACUAGUAAAACAGUCAUUACGCAGCCUUGUCAAGGCUAAAUUGUAGGUUAAACCCCUACGUGUUUUA